CGCCGCCCGCCUCGACUUCGCAGCCAAUCGCCAAAGGCACAGCGCGAAUCCCGCCAGAGCUCGCGGCGUCUUCAGGAAGAACUAAACCAUGUUGGCCGGAGCACUGUGCCGUGAAAGAAAAGCAGUCUGUGUGGAAAUAACCCAGAAGUGGAGCAAACAUCCACAGAAUAAUUUGAAGAUUACUGAUGUUAGUUCUCCUUUGAAGAAUUCUUCCCCGAGUCCAUCUGCUCCUGGGGUUUUCUAAGUUGGGAGAUUUUUUUAAAUAAAAGAUCUCCCAUCAUAAUCAACUUGGUAUCAUCCCAGAGAUGCAGAGAUGACUGAACAUAUGUAAAUCAACAAAUUAAUAAAUGUAAUAUGGCACAUAAAGAUUUAAGGACAGAAACCAAAUGAUUAUCUCCCCAGAUGCA